UAGUAAUAAUAAACAAUAAAAUAUUGAAUUCUUUAAAAUGGUAAAAUCAUCUGGAUUUUGUAGAGCAUAUGGAAUUCAGGAAUGUUUUCCUUUGUCUAAAAUAAUUUGUAAAAUAAAAAAAUAAAUAAAGAAUUAUAAAGGGGAAUGCAAUAUGAGAAGGAGAAAUGGUUGAUGUGUAAGAAUAUAUAUUAUAUGCAUAAUGAACUAAGUCCAUUCUCCUGCACAAUGGGGGAAAUACAAUUGCUUUUCAUCAAAAUAAUGAGUGAAGAAAACAAAUUUUGCUUUUUCCUAGAAAAAGAUGAUGAAGACGGUCAGUCAGUUUUGCUCAGAACUCUUAUAAGAAGAGUCUGCUUUCAGAUUCAAGAGGAAGGGUUGUCAGUUCACAUAUGAAAAACCAAUUUCCUCUACCAGUGAACUCUUCACAUAGUUUGGUUUUUGUGUCUGAGACACAAGUGCUUGUUCAGUUGUUAAGAAAAUCCAGGUUAUUUCAAGAACAAAAAAUAAUCUUUCAAAAAUGAAAGAUCAUUUCUUACAUUGUGGAAAUAGGGAAAAAUGACUGUUAUGUCAGAGAAUGAAAAAAGAUACUUAUCUGAACUAUCAUCACAUCCUAUAAACAUUAGACAGUGUAUGAAAGUUUCUUCCAAUUAGAAAUAUAUACAAGGUGACACAAAAAAAACGGGAACUUUUUAACAAUCCAAUAAAGCCAAGAGUGAUGGAAGAAAAACAUUUUAUUCAUAGUAAUUGAAACCUGUAUACUUGCC
rnacentral:lncRNA from 1 species